rnacentral:tRNA from 1 species
AGGAACGUAGCUCAGCGGCCAGAGCAUUGGUCUUACAAACCAGCGGUCGUGGGUUCGAGUCCCGCCGUUCCUA